GACGAACGCUGGCGGCGUGCUUAACACAUGCAGGUCGAACGGAAAGGCCUGCUUUCCCUUGUGGAUUGCGGGUGCUCGAGUGGCGAACGGGUGAGUAACACGUGAGUGAUCUGCCCCCAACUUGGGUAUAAGCCUGGGAAACUGGGUCUAAUUCCCGAUAGGACUGCAGGGUGGUGCCUGUGGUGGAAAACGAUUUUCUAGUGGUUGGGGAUGAGCUCGCGGCCUAUCAGCUUGUUGGUGGGGUAAUGGCCUACCAAGGCGGCGACGGGUAGCCGGCCUGAGAGGGUGGACGGCCACAUUGGGACUGAGAUACGGCCCAGACUCCUACGGGAGGCAGCAGUGGGGAAUAUUGCACAAUGGGCGGAAGCCUGAUGCAGCGACGCCGCGUGGGGGAUGACGGCCUUCGGGUUGUAAACUCCUUUCGACCGCGAGGAAGCCACCUGGUUGGAAGGGUGGUGACGGUAGUGGUAGAAGAAGCACCGGCUAACUACGU
rnacentral:rRNA from 1 species